AUGCUCGCUUUGGCAGUAUAUAUACUAAAAUGGGAACAAUACAGAGAAGAUUAGCAUGGCCUGAAUGAUGCUCAAUGAUUUUUGUGCUCAAUGAUGACACAAAAAUUCAUGAAGUGUUCCAUAUUAAA
ensembl:snRNA U6 U6 spliceosomal RNA